rnacentral:lncRNA from 1 species
CUCCACUAUGGAGUUGUACAAUUUCACACAUCAUAGCAUCUACGCAUGCGCACGAAACGCACGUGGAAGUUCACUUCGCACACUAACACACAGGAGAUCCCCGCCGAAGCUGUCCUCACUUUCACAAGGAAGGUGUUCGUUCAGGGCCAUCCAAGGCCCACUCCUUUCACGGCUCACACAUUUUGUGUCCUCGCGUCGUCUAAGCGCAGCAGAAGGCUCCGGAAGAAACGUCGAAGGUCCACCGUAGACACGUCCAGGUGAUCAACGCGGAGGAGAUCUGUUCACUGCACGCUACGUUUGUUCAAAUCACAGCACAACUUUACGGGCUUCGAUGUAGACUCGACGCACUUCCAGACGUCACUUCUCGUCCUUUCGUUAGUGUUUCGAUACAGCGCGGGAAUAGAUGCUCGUUUGGCAUAUAUGCGACGCAAGUCGGCUUAAGCGCGAACAUUAUGAAGACACGCACUUUCGUACAGCCUUGAAAGCGAAACUAUAUUCGAGCUCCCGAUUCGAAGCUCGAUCACCGAUUUUCAAGUUUGUCCGCGCGCACAUUUAUCACACCAUGACUGUACAGCAUUGAUUGGGGCAGUCUAUAAGCUCUUCCCUUCGCGCGCACACAGAUGUGCGUAAUACGCAAGUUUGUAGCACGCGCAUAAAUUUGUAGUAGUGCCAGCUUCCCACGAU